rnacentral:tRNA from 1 species
GCGGUCGUGGUGGAAUAGGCAGACACGCUAUCUUGAGGGGGUAGUGGCCGCAAGGCCGUGCGAGUUCGAGUCUCGCCGACCGCACCA